CUACGUGCCAGCAGCCGCGGUAAUACGUAGGGGGCAAGCGUUAUCCGGAUUUACUGGGUGUAAAGGGAGCGUAGACGGUGAAGCAAGUCUGGAGUGAAAACCCGGGGCUUAACCCCGGGAUUGCUUUGGAAACUGUUUAACUGGAGUGCAGGAGAGGUAAGCGGAAUUCCUAGUGUAGCGGUGAAAUGCGUAGAUAUUAGGAGGAACACCAGUGGCGAAGGCGGCUUACUGGACUGUAACUGACGUUGAGGCUCGAAAGCGUGGGGAGCA
rnacentral:rRNA from 1 species